CUAAUGGAGUUUUUAGACUCCACAAGUAUAGUUAGAAGGUUGAUA
rfam:Gossypium raimondii chromosome 10, whole genome shotgun sequence.